CCUACGGGAGGCAGCAGUGGGGAAUUUUGGACAAUGGGCGCAAGCCUGAUCCAGCAAUGCCGCGUGCAGGAUGAAGGCCUUCGGGUUGUAAACUGCUUUUGUACGGAACGAAACGGUGAGCUCUAAUAAAGUUUGCUAAUGACGGUACCGUAAGAAUAAGCACCGGCUAACUACGUGCCAGCAGCCGCGGUAAUACGUAGGGUGCGAGCGUUAAUCGGAAUUACUGGGCGUAAAGCGUGCGCAGGCGGUUAUAUAAGACAGAUGUGAAAUCCCCGGGCUCAACCUGGGACCUGCAUUUGUGACUGUAUAGCUAGAGUACGGUAGAGGGGGAUGGAAUUCCGCGUGUAGCAGUGAAAUGCGUAGAUAUGCGGAGGAACACCGAUGGCGAAGGCAAUCCCCUGGACCUGUACUGACGCUCAUGCACGAAAGCGUGGGGAGCAAACAGGAUUAGAUACCCUGGUAGUCCACGCCCUAAACGAUGUCACUGGUUGUUGGGUCUUCACUGACUCAGUAACGAAGCUACGCGUGAAGUUGACCGCCGUGGGGUGGUACGGCCGCGAGUAGAGAGUUAAGUUAGAGUUGNGGNGNGNGAGNGCGACGGCGACGACGAGGGAGGAGG
rnacentral:rRNA from 1 species